GCGCCCUUAGCUCAGCUGGAUAGAGCGUCUGGCUACGAACCAGAAGGUCGGGAGUUCGAAUCUCUCAGGGCGCACCA
rnacentral:tRNA from 2 species